rnacentral:rRNA from 1 species
CCUACGGGAGGCAGCAGUGAGGAAUAUUGGUCAAUGGGCGAGAGCCUGAACCAGCCAAGUCGCGUGAAGGAUGACGGCCCUACGGGUUGUAAACUUCUUUUGUCAGGGAGCAAUUGGGUCCACGCGUGGGCUUAGCGAGAGUACCUGAAGAAAAAGCAUCGGCUAACUCCGUGCCAGCAGCCGCGGUAAUACGGAGGAUGCGAGCGUUAUCCGGAUUUAUUGGGUUUAAAGGGUGCGUAGGCGGAAUAUCAAGUCAGCGGUAAAAAUUCGGGGCUCAACCCCGUCGUGCCGUUGAAACUGAUGUU